CUUGAUGGACCCCAGCCACAGGGGCUCCGCCUCCGAGCGCCCCUGCCCGUAGGUGGCGAGCAGCGCCUGCGCCUC
rnacentral:antisense_RNA from 1 species